UUAAUAUUACCCCCGUCCCAAAAUUCUUGUCUUAGAUUUGUCUAGACACGGAUGUUUCUAACACUAAAAUGUGACAAGAUAUAUCCAUAUUUAGAUAAAUUUAAGACAACAAUUUUGGGAUGGAGGGAGUAAAAU
rfam:Triticum aestivum genome assembly, contig: Triticum_aestivum_CS42_TGACv1_scaffold_146945_2BS